rnacentral:misc_RNA from 1 species
UCGAGAACCGAUCGAGAGACUGCGAACCUGUAAACGGAUCAUCGUGUUGGGCGGGUAAUAUUCUCGCCCUACUCGGGACCUCGCAUCGUGUUAUCGGUCGCCUUCGAGCGUUUCGGGCAUGAUUUGCGGGGGACGAACGAAACCCCGGCACGGCCUGUGCCAAGGAACAUAUUUCAGGACGGACGUGCAUCAACGCCUUUGUGGUGGGGCGAUAUCCGCUCUCUAUC